AAGCGUUUAGUACAGCGAAACUGCGGAUGGCUCAUUAAAUCAGUUAUAGUUUAUUUGAUGGUCAAUUUACUACUUGGAUAACCGUGGUAAUUCUAGAGCUAAUACAUGCGUAAAGUCCUAACUACCAGCAAUGGUUGGAAAGGAUGUAUUUAUUAGAUUAAAGACCAAUACUGGGUUUCGGCUCAGUUCACUUGGUGAUUCAUAAUAACUUCAGCGGAUCGCAAUAUACCCUUCGGGGUGGCGACGGUUCAUUCAAAUUUCUGCCCUAUCAACUUUGGAUGGUAGUAUAGAGGACUACCAUGGUGAUAACGGGUAACGGAGAAUUAGGGUUCGAUUCCGGAGAGGGAGCCUGAGAAAUGGCUACCACUUCUAAGGAGGGCAGCAGGCGCGCAAAUUACCCAAUCCUAAUACGGGGAGGUAGUGACAAUAAAUAACAAUGCUGGGACUAUGUCUUAGUAAUUGGAAUGAGAACAAUUUAAACCCCUUAUCGAGUAACCAUCAGAGGGCAAGUCUGGUGCCAGCAGCCGCGGUAAUUCCAGCUCUGAUAGCGUAUAUUAAAGUUGUUGCAGUUAAAAAGCUCGUAGUUGGAUAUUAGGAUCUAUUGAUAUGGUCGGUUGUGAUAAACAAUCUUGUACUGUAUCGAUAAUCCUUUCCUACUGGUUACUCGACUCUGUCCUUUACUGGAUGGAGUAGUAUCGCAAGGUAUCGUUUAAUAUUAUGUUGCCAUUAAAUGUAGUAGUCGGGUAAAACUGGUUAUGAAAUUUAGUGGAUCACAAUCUAGUAUUAAAUGGGGUUCCAGUUCAUUUACUUUGAGUAAAUUAGAGUGUUCAAAGCAGCCUCUUGGGGCAUUGAAUAGAUUAGCAUGGGAUAAUAGAAUAGGACUCUUGUCUAUUUAUUGGUUUAUAGAUUUAGAGUAAUGAUUAAUAGGGAUAGUUGGGGGCACUUGUAUUCAAUAGUCAGAGGUGAAAUUCUAGGAUUUAUUGAAGACAAACUUCAGCGAAAGCAUUUGCCAAGGAUGUUUUCAUUAAUCAAGAACGAAAGUUAGGGGAUCGAAGACGAUUAGACACCGUCGUAGUCUUAACUAUAAACUAUGCCGACCAG
rnacentral:rRNA from 1 species